GAGGGGCGGCAGCCUACUGGAUGUCUACGCAGGCAGGGUCGUGGGUCAGGCCUGCGACCAGAGCCUGGGGACCCCAGGCCGCUGCGAGGAGGAAGCGCCGAGGCGCCUGCCCAUUCCUGUUCGGGCCGCUUUCCUUCCUCCACUGCCGGCCCUUGUAGCUCCGCAGGGACUGGAGGGUGAGGCCGGCGCCGCUAAAGCGACUGAAAUCUGAGCUGAGCCGUCUGUAAGAAUGGAGAGUGAUCUGUCCUUCGCCGACCGCUGCAGGUGAUGAUGUUGCAGGGAGCCCUGGGAAGUAACUGCAGUGUGUGGAGGAGCUUUGCUGCCCAUCUCCUUGCAGCGUUGCUGGCUCAUCUGAAGAUCCACCCUUCCCUCAGAAGUCUUGCAGGAUCUACUCAAGCUUGAAAUAAUUACUCUCUUUCCUUGCUCCUGGGGCCUGCAGGGAAUACACACCAGGGGAUCAGCAGCCUGAGUUUUCCCCAAAGCCAAGUGACCUCAGCCAAAUGCCCUGAAAUUAGAGGCGUGUCUCUUACUGCUCCAUCUUGGCAGGGCUCGUUCCAGAACCCUAUUGGAGUUGCAGUGACCACAAGAAGCUACAUCUCAGCAGCCACCUGCUCUCAAAGCAUGUGAGUCAGGAUCAGGGUGAACUCAGCGUCUGCAGAGCUGAGCAAGGAGGUUGUGAGACAGGAUAUGACUGCAGCCAACACCUUCCCAUGAGCAGCUCUUCUUGACCAUUUCCUUCUGCCGUGCCAUCCUACUUUGGAAACAGCUGACUAUGGACUGAAAACUACAUACUGGUUACAAAAGAUUGUGACUUCCAUUCUGCUAAUACUCUCACACGCUCCCUCUGAUGAAUCCUACUGACAAGUUGUGAGGGGCUCUAUAGGAAGGCCCACAUGGCAAAGAAUCAAAAGAAGACCACCAGCUGCUGAGGAACUGAGACCUUAGUCCAAUACACAUAAAGACCUGAAUCCUGACAGCCACUAUGUGCAUGAACUCGGAAGCAGAUCCUCCAUGAUAGUCUUCAGAUGAGACUACAUCCCCAACUAACAACUUGAUUGUGGCCUAGUGACAAACUCUGAGCAGAAGAUAGCUAAGCCAUGUCCAAAUUCCUGAAAAUAUAUGUUUUAAGCUGCUGAAUUUAGAAGGGUGUAAUUUGUUAAUUUGUUAUGCACCUUGAUAGCUAAUUCAUCUUCCAAGACAUUAUUAUUUAUCUUCAUAAAUGUAUUAUUCUUACAUAUAUCUGUGUCUUAGUUACUUUUCUUGUUGCUAGGGCAAAAUACCCAACACCCAAAUUAGGGGAGGAAAUAUUUCUUUAGCUCACAGUUUGUGGAGGUUUCAGUUCAUAAUUUGCUGGCUCCAAGGCAGGGUGGCUUAUUGCAGAGGAGCAGCUGUUCAUGGCCACAGAAGACACCAAAAGCAAUAAGAGCAAAAGAGUAAAACAAGGCUUUUUCUUCCCUUUUUAUCUUAUCCAGACUUCUGGGAUUAGGGGAGUACUAAUCCAGUCAGUGGAUUGAUCAGCAACCACCAACCCUUAAUCCCAGCUCCCUUAAUCCUAGCACUGAACCAUAAUCAGUCACACACUCUAGAUUCAGCUAUUGCUGAAGAAAACCCACCCCACAGUGGAUGCAGUGAGGUUUUGGGGGGCAUCUAGACACAAACCAUAGCAAUCUUUAUAAAGACUUUACAUGUAUGUAUAUUGGUGGGGGUAAUUUGUGAAUUUGUUACGUACCAUGAUAACUAAUUCACCUAUGAGGUAACCAUUAUCUUAAAUGUGUUAUCAUUCUUAUACAUGUCUUGUACAUGUCUUUGUAUAUACAUUCACAUACACACAUUUGUAUGAAUAAUCUUCAUGCAUGUGUGUAUAUAAAAAUAUAUGGAAUGUUUUUAAAAUUCAUAUGGUGCUAUGAUAAUAUUUAUAUCCUGAAACUAGCUUUUCUGUUAUUCAUUUUCCUGAAACUAGCUUUUCUGUCAUUCAUUUUCCUGUUACCUCCACUCAGUCUUUUGCCUUCCAAGAGGUCUUUCUCUGUUUCAGCCACUAUGAGUUUUAGUCUCUUUCUCAGCUCAGACCUUGAUGUUCUGUUAAGUUUCCUGGCAAAAGUCCCAAGCUAGUGAAUUAAGCCCACUCUUAGACUAAGCUUAGCUUCUACAAAAAUCACACAGUAUCAUCUCAAUCAAACUAUAGUUGUAAGUUCUUCAAUAUUUCAUAGAUCCAUAUGCAUGGGUCAUCACUUUGAUUUCCUUCAACAGUAGUGCUUCUAUGUCAGUGUGUAUCUCAAAGUUUAAUGUUUAUAGUAAUUACAUGUACACUUUGUUAAAAUGUGAUUUUGAUUCACUUGGUCCACAAAUGGCCUACAUUUCUACAACACUUUUAGAUAUCACUGAUGCUCAAUGGGCCAUAUGAUUUAAAGUAAGAUUUCAGAAGUUAAAAAUCUAUUUAUUCACCAAAAAUUGCUUUAAUUUGACAAUAUAUAUUGGGCAGGAAUACAAGAACUUACAGCUAUCCAGUGGUGGAAUAUGAUACCUUUCUAAGAAAGUAAGGUAGGUUAAGAAACAAAACCAACACAAAUAAUAUAAGGAAAUAUUUUAUUCAGUGAUUUUUUACCUACAGCAAGCCAAAGGAAGACAAUAAUAAGAGUGGAAAUUAAUGGAAUAAGUAAUAGACAAAACAAUAGAGAAAAAUCAGUGAAGCCUAAAUCUAGUUCUUUGAAAAGGUCCACAAAAUUGUCAAAUCUUUAGCAAGAUGGAAUAAGAAAAAUAUCUGGGAUACUUAAUAUUAGAGUCAAAAAUGAAAGAGGAAACAUUACUACCAACAUUAUAGAAAUAAAACAUUUUAAAGGAAUACUAUGAACAACUGUAAGCCAAUAAGUAGACAGAUGAAAUGGAAAAAUUCCUAGAAAGAUACAAACUACUAAAAUGGAUUCAAAGAGAAAUGGCAAAUAUUGAAGUGGGUUAUAUAGGUUGAGCAUCUGUAACCCCAAAAUCUAACAUCUGAAUGCUCUAAAAUCUAAAACAUUUUUAGCACUGACAUAACACCACAAAGUGGAAGCUGCAUACUAUGAAAUUUUGUUUCAUAGUAUACACAAAAUUGCUAAAAAUAUAAAAUCUCUUCAGUGUAUGUGUGUAAGAUAUAUAAAAAAUAUAAAUGGACUCAUGUUUAUCUUGGGUCACUUCUUCUAGACAUCUCAUUAAGUACAUGCAGAUAUUACAAAAUCAAAAAAAAAUCUGAAAUCAAAUUUUGGAUAAGGAAUGCUGAACCUAUAAUUAAAAAUCAUUAACUGCCCAUAAUCAAAAGUCCAGGCCCAGAUGAUUUACUACUGAGUACUAACAAACAUGAAGGAAUUAACACUAAUUCUUUAUACACUUCAUCUAAAAUAGAAAAGGAAAAAGAUGGAAUACUUCUCAAUGCGUGCUAGGAGGACAGGAUUUCCUUGGUACCAAAAGCAAAGGCAUCACUAGAAAACUACAGACUAAUAUACUUUAUAAAUAUGAAUGCAAAUAACCCAGGCAUAUAGGUUGGUUAAGCAUCUGAAAAUCAAUAUAAUGUACCACUGCUGUAGAGUAAAAACAAAAUCACACAGUAUCAUCUCAAUAGGUAUAGAAAAAAAGCAUUUAUAAAGUGCAACACACACCUCCAACACACACACAUACACAGUUAAAAUGUGGAAUGAACUAGGAAUAAAAAGGAACUUCCUGAACUCAUUAAAUGGUGAAAGAAUGGAUGCUUUACCGUUAAGAUUGGAAAGAAAACAAAGAUGCCAGUGUCUCAACAUUGUACUGGAAUUCUACCCAGGGCAAUUAGGCAGGAAAAAGUCAUCUGGACUCGGAAUGAAAAAAAGAAAAUCAUUUCAAUUUGCAGAGGAGAUGAUCAUGUAUGUAGAAAACCUUAAGGAAUCCACAUCAAAUUUGUAUCUAAUAAAACAAAUUGAUCACAAUAUAGGAGAAUAUAAGAUCACUUUACAAGAGUCAAUUGUAUAUAUACUUGCAAUGAAAAAUCCAAAAUGACUUUUCAAGAAACAAUUCGAUUAACAAUAACUUCAAAAUAAUAAAACACUUAGGAAUAAAUUUAAGGAAAGGUAUAAAAAUUUAUACUUUGAAAAGGAAAAGACACUGUUGAAAGAAAUUUAAAAGUUCUAAAUAAAUGCAGCACCCUGUGCUCAUGGGUCAGAAAAUUUAAUAUUGUUAAGCCAGGAAUACCUCCUAAAAUGACUUACAGAUUCAAUGCAAUGUCUACAGGCUAUCAAGCUAGAUUUUCUUUAGAAAUUGACAAGCUGAUUCUAAGAUCGAUAUAGAAUUGCAAGUGAUCCAGAAUAGCUGAAAUAAUCUUGAGAAGAAAGAACAAAGUAGGAGGAUUCACAUUUCCUAAAUUCAAUUUGUAAUACAAAGCAAUGGUAAUCAUGACAGUGUUGUACUGGCAUAAGGAUAGUCAUACACACCAACGGGCUAGAAUAACACCAUAUGUCUAUGGUCAAUUGCUUCAUUUUAUUAUGAGAUCAGAUAUUUCUAAGUUUCCUGGGCUGUCCCCAAACUUGUUUUCCUCCUGUGUCAGUCUCAUGAAUAGCUAAGAUUACAAACAUACAACAAUGCCCACCAUCGACUGAUUUUUGACAGGAGUAUCAAGACCAUUCAGUGGGGGAAAGAACAGAUAGUUCCAGGACAACUGUAGAGCCACAUGUAAAAGGACUAAAUUGAACCAUUCUCUACACUAUGUUUAAAAUUAACUCAAAAUGGAUCAUAGACCUAAAUAGAGUUGCUACAGCUAUAAAAUUCUUACAAAAAGCAGAGGAGUAAAUGUUUAUGACUUCAGAUUCAGCAAAGAAUUUUCUUUAUACCACUAAAAGACUAAACACACAUACACACACACAAAACUUGGUUUCAUCAAAAUUAAAAGUUUUUGUGUUUCAAAAGAACCAUCUGCUUUAGUGAUUUUUCUGUCACUGGUACAAAAUCCUCAACACCUGCUACUUAAAGGAGAGGUUUAUUUUGCUGGUUUCUACUGGUCUCUGUCCAUGGCUCCAAGGAAGAAACAGCAUGAUUGAAGGGCAUCAUGGAGGACACCUGAUCACCCCAUGGCAACGAGGAAGCAGAGAAAGAGAAGGAACAAAAAUCCACCCACAUCACAUGAACAAUUUCUGAACACAAGACUUUUAGGGUACAUUUUAGAUUCAAGCCAUAACCGUGCCAUAGCUGGACAUGGCUAAACAUGUCUGUAAUCCCAGCAUGUUGGGAGGUGUGUUUAUAGCAGCAUUAUUCAUAACAACCAAAAUGUGGAAACAAUCCAAAUGUCCAUCUACUGAUGAAUGUAUGAACAAAAUGUGGCAUAUUCAUACCAUGGAAUAUUAUUUUGCCAUAAAAUGAAUAAAUUACUGAUACAUGCCAAAACAUAGAUGACUAUUAUGUUUCCAGAUGUCAAUUAUAAAGACCUCAUCUUAUAUGAUUAUAUUUAUUUGAAAUUUCCAGAAUAGGGAUAGCUAAAAUUACAGAAAGUAGAUGAGUAAUUGCUGAGGGGAAUUGAGAGGUGAUGGCUAAAAGGCAGGUAAUUUCCUUUUGAGAUGACGAAAAUGUUACAAUCUUUUUGAUAGCUACAUCAUGCGAAUAUGCUAAUGUAUUUGUGAAUUGUAUACUUAAAUGAGUGAGUUGUGUAUGAAUUAUAGCUCAAUAAAGCUGUUUAAAAACUAA